AAGUCGUAACAAGGUUUCCGUAGGUGAACCUGCGGAAGGAUCAUCAUAUUAUUGAAAAAUAAGGCAACUUUUUUUUUGGUGCUAGCUUUUUGGAAGCUCUUGACAUAAACUUAAAAGUACAAACUUUUAACCAUGGAUCUCUAGGCUCUU
rnacentral:misc_RNA from 1 species